rnacentral:misc_RNA from 1 species
GAAAUGCGAUAAGUAAUGUGAAUUGCAGAAUUCAGUGAAUCAUCGGAUCUUUGAACGCACAUUGCGCCCCCUGGUAUUCCGGGGGGCAUGCCUGUUCGAGCGUCAUUUCACCACUCAAGCCUCGCUUGGUAUUGGGCGACGCGGUCCGCCGCGCGCCUCAAAUCGACCGGCUGGGUCUUUCGUCCCCUCAGCGUUGUGGAAACUAUUCGCUAAAGGGUGCCGCGGGAGGCCACGCCGUAAAACAACCCCAUUUCUAAGGUUGACCUCGGAUCAGGUAGGGAUACCCGCUGAACUUAAGC